UACGGAGGGUGCAAGCGUUAUCCGGAUUCACUGGGCUUAAAGGGUGCGUAGGCGGUUAGGUAAGUCCGUGGUGAAAUCCUGCAGCUUAACUGCAGAACUGCCAUGGAUACUAUUUAUCUUGAAUAUCGUGGAGGUUAGCGGAAUAUGUCAUGUAGCGGUGAAAUGCUUAGAUAUGACAUAGAACACCCAUUGCGAAGGCAGCUAACUACGCGAUCAUUGACGCUGAUGCACGAAAGCGUGGGGAUCAAACAGG
rnacentral:rRNA from 1 species